GGCCCAUUAUCUUCAGUUGGUUAGAGCGUGGUGCUAAUAACGCCAAGGUCGCAGGUUCGAGACCUGCAUGGGCCA
rnacentral:ncRNA from 16 species